AUUGAACGCUGGCGGCAUGCCUUACACAUGCAAGUCGAACGGCAGCACGGGAGCUUGCUCCUGGUGGCGAGUGGCGAACGGGUGAGUAAUGCAUCGGAACGUACCCGGAAGUGGGGGAUAACGUAGCGAAAGUUACGCUAAUACCGCAUAUUCUGUGAGCAGGAAAGAGGGGGAUCGCAAGACCUCUCGCUUUCGGAGCGGCCGAUGUCGGAUUAGCUAGUUGGUGGGGUAAAGGCCUACCAAGGCGACGAUCCGUAGCGGGUCUGAGAGGAUGAUCCGCCACACUGGAACUGAGACACGGUCCAGACUCCUACGGGAGGCAGCAGUGGGGAAUUUUGGACAAUGGGCGAAAGCCUGAUCCAGCCAUGCCGCGUGAGUGAAGAAGGCCUUCGGGUUGUAAAGCUCUUUCGGCUGAAAAGAAAUCGCACAGGCUAAUACCUUGUGUGGAUGACGGUAUCAGCAUAAGAAGCACCGGCUAACUACGUGCCAGCCGCCGCCGUAACAC
rnacentral:rRNA from 1 species